GGGGCUGUAGCUCAGUGGCAGAGCACUUGCCUAGCAUGUGUGAGGCCCUGGGUUUGAUCCCUAGCACCA
rnacentral:tRNA from 1 species